UGUGGAUAUUCAAAAAAUUGGGAAACAAGUGGUUCUUGGUUCAGAGUCUAUGUUACCAUCAUGUUUACUGUGUUGGUUUGUUUUUCUUUUGUUUUUCGCUCGGUUUCUCUUUUUUUCUUUCUAUUUUUCAACCCAGUGCCAUUCUUUGGCCCGUGCUUAUUUUGAACCUUCGAGUUUAUUUAUAUAUUUUUUUUCUUUU
rnacentral:lncRNA from 1 species